rnacentral:rRNA from 1 species
UACGGAGGGUGCAAGCGUUAUCCGGAUUCACUGGGUUUAAAGGGUGCGUAGGUGGACAGUUAAGUCAGUGGUGAAAUCUCCGGGCUCAACCCGGAAACUGCCAUUGAUACUAUCUGUCUUGAAUAUCGUGGAGGUAAGCGGAAUAUGUCAUGUAGCGGUGAAAUGCUUAGAUAUGACAUAGAACACCAAUUGCGAAGGCAGCUUACUACCCGAAUAUUGACACUGAGGCACGAAAGCGUGGGGAUCAAACAGG